rnacentral:rRNA from 1 species
GCUACCGCUAUUGGAGUUCGAUUAAGCCAUGCGAGUCGAGAGUCUUAGGGACUCGGCGUACCGCUCAGUAACACGUGGGUAACCUGCCCUAUGCUGGGGAAUAACCUCGGGAAACUGAGAAUAAUGCCCCAUAGUCCACCAUGCCUGGAACGGUUGGUGGAUGAAAGCUCCGGCGGCAUAGGAUGGGCCUGCGGCGUAUCAGGUCGUAGGGGGUGUAACGUACCCUCUAGCCAUCGACGCGUACGGGUGUUGGGAGACAUAGCCCGGAGAUGGAUUCUGAGACACGAAUCCAGACCCUACGGGGUGCAGCAGGCGCGAAAACUUGGCAAUGCGAGAAAUCGUGACCAGGGAACUCCAAGUGGCUGGGGUAAGACCCAGUCUUUUCUUGACUCUUCAAAGGUCUUGGAAUAAGGGGUGGGUAAGGACGGUGCCAGCCGCCGCGGUAAUACCGGCGCCUCAAGUGGUAGUCGAUUUUAUUGGGCCUAAAACGUCCGUCGCCUGUUUGGUACAUUCGUGGGUAAAUCAACCAGCUCAACUGGUUGAAUUCUGCGAGCACGGCCAGACUUGGGACCGGGAGAGGUGUGGGGGUACGCUCAGGGUAGGGGUAAAAUCCUGUCAUCCUGAGCGGACCACCUGUUGCGAAGGCUCCACACUAGAACGGAUCCGACGGUCAGGGACGAAGCCUAGGGGCACGAACCGGAUUAGAUACCCGGGUAGUCCUAGGUGUAAACGCUGUGGACUUGGUGUUGGGAAAGGU